rnacentral:rRNA from 1 species
CAGCAGCCGCGGUAAUACGUAGGGUGCAAGCGUUACUCGGAAUUACUGGGCGUAAAGCGUGCGUAGGUGGUGGUUUAAGUCCGUUGUGAAAGCCCUGGGCUCAACCUGGGAAUUGCAGUGGAUACUGGGUCACUAGAGUGUGGUAGAGGAUAGUGGAAUUUCCGGUGUAGCAGUGAAAUGCGUAGAGAUCGGAAGGAACAUCUGUGGCGAAGGCGACUAUCUGGGCCAACACUGACACUGAGGCACGAAAGCGUGGGGAGCAAACAGGAUUAGAUACCCGUGUAGUCCCUGUCUCUUAUAC